rnacentral:rRNA from 1 species
UACCUACGGGGGGCAGCAGUGAGGAAUAUUGGUCAAUGGGCGCGAGCCUGAACCAGCCAAGUCGCGUGAGGGAGGACGGCCCUACGGGUUGUAAACCUCUUUUGCCGGGGAGCAACGGGCGUCACGUGUGGCGCCACUGAGAGUACCCGGAGAAAAAGCAUCGGCUAACUCCGUGCCAGCAGCCGCGGUAAUACGUAGGUGGCAAGCGUUAUCCGGAUUUACUGGGUGUAAAGGGCGUGUAGGCGGGAAAGCAAGUCAGAUGUGAAAACCAUGGGCUCAACCUGGGGCCUGCAUUUGAAACUGUU